AUACGGAGGGUGCAAGCGUUGUCCGGAUUUAUUGGGUUUAAAGGGUGUGUAGGCGGUGUAUUAAGUCAGUGGUGAAAGCCUGCGGCUCAACCGUAGAACUGCCAUUGAUACUGACACACUUGAGUAUGGACGAGGUAGGCGGAAUUUAUGGUGUAGCGGUGAAAUGCAUAGAUACCAUAAAGAACACCGAUAGCGAAGGCAGCUUACUAGGCCAUAACUGACGCUGAGGCACGAAAGCGUGGGGAGCGAACAGGAUUAGAAACCCUGGUAGUCC
rnacentral:rRNA from 1 species